GACGAACGCUGGCGGCGUGCUUAACACAUGCAAGUCGAGCGGUAAGGCCCUUCGGGUACACGAGCGGCGAACGGGUGAGUAACACGUGGGUGACCUGCCCUUAGCUCUGGGAUAAGCCUGGGAAACUGGGUCUAAUACCGGAUAUGACCUCAUGACGCAUGCUGUGGGGUGGAAAGCCUUGUGCGGCUAGGGAUGGGCCCGCGGCCUAUCAGCUUGUUGGUGGGGUGAUGGCCUACCAAGGCGACGACGGGUAGCCGGCCUGAGAGGGCGACCGGCCACACUGGGACUGAGACACGGCCCAGACUCCUACGGGAGGCAGCAGUGGGGAAUCUUGCGCAAUGGGCGAAAGCCUGACGCAGCGACGCCGCGUGAGGGAUGACGGCCUGG
rnacentral:rRNA from 1 species